rnacentral:lncRNA from 1 species
GAAUCGCAACUCUGCUCGAGGAUUCAAUGUGGUCGAUGACAUCAAGUCUGCCGUCGAGAUAGUUUGCCCUGGUGUUUUUUCAUGUGCUGAUAUCUUGGCUCUUUCUGCUAGAGACUCUGUUACAAUUGUAAGCUCCUAAAUUCCUGUUUGCCUGAUGAGUUUCAUAGAGAGGUGAAAGUGAUACUUUCAUAUUACUGAACAAAUGAGACUCUUGGUGAAACUUGAACUUGCAGUACAUCUUAAAUUUUAAAUUAAGCAAGUAAUUGAGAGAUUACCCUUUUGUUUUUGUUGUUGUUGGUAAGCUUGGAGGCCCUUAUUGGGAUGUGAAACUGGGGAGAAGAGAUGCUAGGACUGCAAGCCAAGCUGCUGCUAAUAACAAUAUUCUUUCUCCAUCUUCUAACUUGAAUCAACUCAUU